AUUCCGACACAGGGGGCCACCUUAGCAGCCCCUCUCCCAGCCCCGCACGCCACGAUCUACGGUGGUUGCUCGGCGAGCCCGGGCGCUGAGGUGCACCUGUUCUUCAGCCGGCCCGCAGCCAACCCUCGGUGAACGCUCUCCGGGAGAAACCAAUCCUAGCGCAGAGCGGAGGGCGAGCGGCCGGGCUCGCCUCGCUCCCGCCGCCCGCGGCUCUGCGCCGCCACUGCCGCCGCCUCCCGUGAGUCAAACUCCAGAGAGCUACGCCGCCGCCCCGGAGCGGGGUACUCGGGACGCACCCCGAUCGGCACGCAGAGGAUACCAAACAAGCCUGGUGCCGCUGCCGGGUCGACCCGGGCUAGCCAAAAUGGGAGAGAGCCACGGGGGUCCUGGACGGCGUGACCGCUGCACCAAGCAGUUUCUUGCACUCAACCACUCGGCUUCGGGUGUCUGUGUGUUUGUGUGCGGAGUCGCCGCGGACGGGGUGGGAUUCGGACAGAGUAGCGCCUCCCACCAACACCUAAUGGUGCUGUCUUACUGCGCGCUGGAUAAAUAAAUGAUCCAAGCGGACCCCGUUGGAGAUGUGUGGCACCAGGAGCUCUGGAUCUGCUGUGUGCAGGUUUCUGGUGUGGAUCCUGCUGGGUCAGACACAGAAGCUGCGGGGAGAAUGCCGCACGGGCGUGUUAAGUGGGAGGGCACCUCUGAGCUCCCCUGCCCCGCCGCGGUGCGGUUGGACAGAGAACCACCUUUGCUUUUGGAGUUACUGAGAGAUGCUGCUGAAGCAGAGGACCUUUCCAUGAUCAGAUCUCUAAGCCAUUAACUCACCUUUUAAAAAGUAUCAUCUUUAAAUAUAGGCACCCCUCGGAAACAAGGCGAGAGGCAAAAAUGAGAAAAGAUGCUACCUAGUCUCUUAAAUUUCGUAGCUGGUUUCUUCCCUUUGGUAGAGGGAGAUCAGAGUAUCUCCAAUUUCAGUAAGCUGUGCUGUGGUACCUCCCUGAGGACCAGGUGGCACAGACAGGAAAGGGGCAAGAGCAGGUGCUAACAGAUAUACAUACGCUGCUGGUGUAAAGCGAUGAUGCUUCCCACACUACCCUAUGCUGAAGUGGAAACGAAAGGGGAGGUGUUUUUUGUUUUUGGUUUUUUGUUUUUCAUUUAAUUUUCUUACAAGUGCUGUGUAAGAAUGGGAGGUUGAGAAUGGCAUCUUCUUUAUCAUGCACCUCCCAGCACCGUCCGAGAAUGCAGACAGCAUCCUCCAGUCCUGGGAUGCACUCCAGAAAGAUGAAGUUUCCUAGGUAUCCAUUUUAUUCACAGGUUAAAAGCAAAAGGGAAUGCUACUCUGAGGAGGUGGCAGAGUGCAGAGAAUACAUUCAAACAGGAAGCCCUGGUGGAAUUGUGUGCGUACCACAGUUCUUUGCAGAGGCAUGAUUAAUAAAUUAUUUUUUGAUGGCAGUAAUGUGGCUGUCAUCUCUUUCAGCUCUAACGCUGAGACCUAAUCCAUAGGAAAAUCCUUGGUUUUUAAUUUCACAAAGCAUGCCCUAAUGCAGCAGUGCUGAAUGAUGCCUUCCAGAGUUGCAAUAGGGAAAAACAAAACAAGCAAACAAACAAAACCAAGCAACAACAAAACACUAAAUCCAUCCUCUUUUGGCUUUCUAAUGCAAGACAUAAGUAAAAACGUCUUAACCUUCUGUAGGCUGCCAGGCAUCUGCUCCUUGCCUUUCUCAUGCAGUAAAAUAAAAGCAUUUCCACAUUAUAGUAGGUGAUGCUGUUGACACUUGAGAAAGAUUUCUUUUCCACACUUAGUUCAUCAUCAUCCCUCUCAAAUCCCACCUCCAGGAUUCUGUGUUCUUUGCCUUCUUCCUCCCCCGAUGGAAUAAAUCCAAAACACAAAGAGAGGUGCUGCAACGCUUUUGUGGGGAAACGAGCUCUUCCUGAAACCACAAUUGGACAGUAUCCACCUUCUCUUCAUUGUUUCCCAAAGCCUUCUUCACUUCUCGUUCCAAAUUCCCUCUCCUUCCCCCCUUCUACUUCGAUUUAAAAGCUUGUUCCUGGUUCCCUAUUGAGUUCCUAUUUUCCUGGAACACCAGUCACUGUGUAUCAGCUGCUCUUACAAGGAAGAAUCUCCAGAGGGAGCAGGGCAGCAGGGCCCAUUGCUUUGAUGGUUUUCUAUUAAGGAUCAGGUGGUAACAGACCAUCCAGAGAAGUUUAGCAGAUGUAACUGUCCUCACUGUAAAACUGGAUUGUAAGGCUUUCUGGUAGCAGGUGGUAAGCGUGGGGAACCACUGUCCAUGAUGCAGUCAAGGGCUGGACCCUCUCGCUGCUAAAGAAUAGACAGGAUUCCUUUAACAGGCAUGACUUAGAAGCUCCAAGCUGUCUAUCGGUGAUUUUCUAGUUUUGGCUAAUUGAGGAAGAAAGAUCACUCAAACUGUAGUCCACGGGGUGAUGUCUAGUUCUGAAAAAAAUGGAAAAAGAUAGCUGAGCAUGUGGUUGCAAUGUGAGUAGCUGCUGCCAACAUUCUGCCACCAGACCUACCUUCCCAUAGGAACUGUGUUCCCAGGCUGUGGGCAAGAAACAAGCCUUCCUUCCUGAAGUUACUUUAGCCAGCUAUUUCAUCUCAGCAGUGAGACCUGUAACUAUGACACUUACCUGGUAAGGAGCAUCCUGGUUCUAAUCCCUCACACCUUACUGACACCAAACACGGCAGUAGGUUCACAUUAAGACACAAUUUCAAGUUAGAGCUCUGCCUCUGGUAAUAAUCUGGUAAUGAGAAAAAAUGAUGUCUCGUUUUUUUCUCAAGUAUGAAAUGGGGCUUCUACUUAAUUCUUGAAAAUCAUAUCACUAAGGAGACUGUUAGCUAUGGUGUCUUUGAAGCACCACCACCAGUUACUUUCCUGAGAAACAUGAGGCCAUCUCUAAAACUUUACUCCCAAACCCCAAGUUCAAUUAGCUGCCAAGCCAUUUACUUUCUAUCUUUAUAAUAUAAUUUUUAAUGAUGAGAAACUUAUUAAAAAUCCUCAAUCAAAACUGCAAAGUUGGAAGUAACCUUAUUGGCCAGACACAUCCAAUAUGUCAUCCAUCAGAGUUUUGAAGAAGGUAGUCUCUACUUGGAGAAGCUCUGGCAGCCUGGGAAUGAUACAUUUAACUUUAUAAGAGUUCGCUUUAGAGAAAAGUGUUGCUUUUGUUACUUUUCUGCAUACUUGGCUCACUCAUCCUGAACCAGAUAUGAGGCUUAGAGGAUACAAUAGAACACAGGACCCUCCUUUCACCUGGUUUACAAUGUAGGAAGUAUGGUUGACAGUAAGCAACAAAAUAAAAUAGAAUAGCAAGAAAUAAUGAGAACUAUAGUUUGGGUCUACCAAGAUCAAACUUGCUUGGUGUGAUUAUAGAAGACUCUUAAGUAAGUAUUUCUAGCUAGUUUACCAUCACCCUUUUUAAAGUCCUGGGAACUUCACAUUCAUACCACUCAGAUCGAGGACUGUCUUUAUGUACUGUGAGCUCAAUUAAUAGGGCAGUCACUUAGAAGCCAGUAUGUCUCACAAAACUAUGGUAUUCUCCAUGUUCCUCCCUGGAAUCAAGUUUAGAGUCAGUGUGAUAACCUGGGCAUAUCGGACAGUAUAAAUAUUUUAUAAUUGCUAAAGUCUACCUUUUUCAUGGCUUCCACUUAAGGUCUUGUUUCUGAGUAAACAUGAAUAUUUAGUAUUACUAUUAGUAUUACUGUUCUUAUUAGUAUUGCUAUUACUAUUAGUAUUACUAUUUCUAUUAGUAUUACUAUUACUAUUAGUAUUAUUAUUUCUAUUAGUAUUACUAUUACUAUUAGUAUUACUGUUACUAUUACUAUUACUAAGACUGGAAAUAGAGGAGUUCUGCAGAAAUUGUAAAAGUCUUUUGAAGAAAGAAAUAUGCUCUUUUCUCCGUGUCUUUCAAGUCACAUCACCUGUUUCUUUGGGCUCCGCAUUAACUCAAAGUAUAAGAUCAACCCAGAAGGGCAACAGAAAAUCUGGAGAGCACUGUCUUCACAACAUCCAGGAUUCAAGACCUCUUCCACUGCAACAUACCAUGAAGAAAAUGAACAAUAACUAAGUGAGUGAUCCAGAACAAAUGGAGAAAGGAGAGGAAUUCCAGUGUAACCAUAUCCUAGUUGCAAAGGAUUAUAAUAUUAUCCAAAGUCUCAAGUAUGUGGAAUGUCAGGUGAUAAACAUAAGGUGAAAUUACACCCCCAAAUCUUUAACACCUAUGAAAAUAGUGAGAGAACAUAAGAAUUUCAUAGCAACUGGAGAAAUAAGGAAAACUAAGCAGUAUAUCCAUUCUAUUCCUGUUGGCUUAGCAAAGUUGGCAUGCUCUAGAAAGACUUUUUCACUAACUAUGGAGCAAGGUUAAACAGUAGUGCAAUUGUACAUGUGAAAAUUGGGGGAACCAGGACACUGAACAGUAAUGAUGUAGAUUCCAAACACAAAUAAAGGUUGAAAGACUACCAGGGCUAAUGUGUCCAAAGAAAGUGUACAGCAGCAGACAGAUCCCCUACACUUACUGGACCCUGUACUCUUGAGGAGAGCCUUCUGCGUUUCGCCAGCAGACACCAGGAAUUUAAAGUAGAGGUUUGAGCACUCGGCACUAAGGGUUGAUGAAGAGAGGUCCAUUAGAAACCGGAAUGAAAAUAACCUUCAUCUCUGACCUCCCAAGGAUCACUGAAGAUCAAAACAGCUUUCAGUCUUCACUACAGAGUAAGAUUAAAAUGCAAAACAGCACUGUUUAUGGCUUUAGUUUAAAUAUUAAGGAGGGCAGCAAACCAAGUCUCGAAUGUCAUCAUUUUGGGAGUGACAUCUGAUAAAAAUAAUAAUCUCCUAGGAAAAUAUCCAAUUAGCCCAAAGAAUUCCCCUAGCAAACCGAACAAUGGCACUGACUUGCCCGAAGGCUGAUUUGCAAAUGAUUACACAUCCUUUACCACCCCUGAUCCAGCCCCAGCUCUUUCCCAAUCAUUCUUUGUUCUAUGAGAUUAGUAUGGAAACAAGAAGACUAAUUUGAAGUCACACCUUAUCUAAGUUGUCUUUUAUUUGAAAUAUAUAUAUAUUAUAUGAAAGUUAUAAUGAUAUUUUCAUGUAUGUGACUAAUAAUGUACUUUUUUUCACAUUCACCUUCUGUUACUCCGGUUUGCUGUCUCCCUGUCACUGACUCCCUUUCUCUUCCCACACAGCCGCUCUUCUGUUAAUAACGUGUGUUACAUGUGUUUCUGAGUCUGACUUACUUUAUGCAAAAUGGGGACCUCUAUUUCCUCCAGACAACAUAAUGUUGUCCUUCAUUAGAGAUGAACAAUAUGUCACUAUGUGUAUCUACUACAUUUUCUUUACUCUUUUAUCUGUUGAUGGACACUUGAACUGAAUGCAGAAUUUGGCUUCACAGUGAGCAGUAAGCAUGACUGUCCAAGUAUCAUUAUUGUAUAUCUUCAGGUAUUCCCAGGAGUUGUAUAAAGCACCAUGAAGUACUUUCAUGUUUCGCGUUUUUAAAUUUCAUUUAUUUUAUGUGUAUUUCUGGGUGUUUUCCCUGUGUUUGUGUCUAUAUACCCUGUGCAAAGGAGCCAUCAAGGGCAUUGGAUUCCUUGGGACUACUGUUACAGAUGGUUGGGAGUCACCAGGUGGGUGUUGGGACUCGAACUUGGGUUCACUGAAAGAGCAGCCAGUCCUGCUAACUGCUAAGCCAUCACUGCAGCCUAUGCAUAGUAUUUUUGAGGCAAAUCUCUAAGAUAUACUCAGUACUUUAGAUAUUUCUUUCUGAUUAGGAUGGAAAGGCUUUUCACCUUCCAAGAUCUUCCUUAAUAGGUUUAUUAUUGUUAUAUGUGCUAACGUUUUCAGUAUAGAAAACUUUUGCCCCCUUUGUUAGAUUUUAUUCAGAUUAUAACUGAGAAUAUUCUGAUUAUGGUUGUUUUUCUGAAUUCUUGCUUAGUAUGUUCAUUACACAUAUGUAGGAAAACUAUGUUUUAAUGUAUUGAUAUUGUGUUCUGCACAUUUGGUGGAAGAAUUUAUCAGACCAUAGAAUUUUCCAGUGCAUUUUUUAGGUUCUUAAUAUUAUUUAUUUAUUUAUUACUUAUUUACUUUAAAACUAGAGACUUCACUCAUACAAUAUUUCCUUUCUCUCCACCCCUUUCAGCUUCUCCCCAUCCUCCCCUCUCUCCCGGAUCAACUUCCCCUCUCUUCAGAGCAGGCUUCUAAGAGACAACAGGAAACACAACAAAACAAGAUACAUAAGACAAGACAAAAGGCUUAAAAUUGAUUCUGGACAAGGCAACCCUAUAGAAGAAAAAAGAGUUCCCAGAGCAGGCAAAUGAGUGUUUUGUAGAUUUUUUUUAAUCCAUUUUUUCUUAUUGUUAAUUCUUCUCUCAUACAAUACAUUCCAACUGCAGCCUCUCACUCCCUCUACUCCUUCAACUUCACACACACACACACACAUGCACACACACACAGCCUGGUCCUGCCUCUCCCAGACUCACUGCUCCUCCAUUUCAUUUCAGAAAAGAACAGGCCUCCCAGUGGUACCAACCCACAGUUUCCUAAGUAUAGUAUCUUUAGUAUCUAUUAUCUGCAAGGUGGUAUAUUUUGGCAUUUUGUUUCCUACUUAUAACUCUUUUAUUUUGGCUCAUAUCCCAAUGUUCUAGCUAAGAAAUUGAGUACUGUAUUAACAUCCGUGAGAGUUGAUCCAAACUUUUCUAACUUUAGAAGGGACACUGUCAGACUUUAUUCAAUCAGUAUAACCUUAACUGCAGGUUUCCAGUAUGUUCGAGUAAUGUUCCUUUGGUUCCUAUGCUCCAGAGCAUUUCUGACCUUAGGAUUGUGUUAGAUUUGUCAAACUCUUUGUCCUGUGUCUUUCAGAAUGCAUGUGUGACUUCAGUUCUUGAUGCAUUUGUGUGUUAUGUUACACACUGAUCUACCUAAGAAGUCAUCCUUUGAAAAGCACAAACUUCAACAUGGAAGAUAAGAUUUUCACACAUGGUGAGCUUGCUAUGCAAAUACAUUUUCAGUCUACGUUGAUCAAGGAUAUCAGUUUAUAGCUUUCCAUUUACAUUGCACCUUCCUCUGAAUUUGGCCGUAGGAAAAUACUGUGUAAACAGAAUGAGCUGGGCAGUGUUGCCUCCCUCUUCAUCCCUGAUGCCCUUUUUCUUUUCCUCAGAAUGUAGUAACUGAUUUAUAACACCAAUGCUCCUCCUUGACAGAGUCUCUGGAAGGUCUUCUUUUGUCCACCAUCUUUUCUUGGAGCAUCUGACUGGCAUCAAACACAAUUGUUUUGAAAAAUUUCUCUUUGUCUUCCCUUUCUUCUCCUUUUAUAGGGGAUCAAAAAUUGGAUGAGUGUGUUUGUUGUCAUGUUUUUAGUUCUUUCUGUGUUGUCUGAUCGCAACCUUAUCAAGUAGGCUGAGACAAUGACACCCAAAGGAUCAAAGAUCUGGAAGACUGUUGUAACCUGAUAGACCCUCGGAGACUUUCUUAAUAUCAUUCAUUGAUAGAUUAGCAAAUCAUACACAAAACAGGUCACAAUUCAGGCAUGAUUGCACUAAGUACACAGUGAUUCCCCUGAAUGAAGUAUCUAUUUUUGGUAAAAACUUAUGUAAAGUCAGCAAGAUUGUAUGCUAAAAAUUUCUAAGGAUGUUCUCCUUUAUAACAGCAUUUAAAAGAGUCAAAACUUUGCCAGAAUAACUUUUAUUUUUAGAACGUUGGCAAUUAACCAAAGCAUCAUUCUGAGAGGCUUUAUUGAAUAAAAAAAAUGGCUGAAUCUUGGUAA